rnacentral:rRNA from 1 species
UCCUGACUGACCGAUAGUGAACCAGUACCGUGAGGGAAAGGCGAAAAGAAYCCCGGCGAGGGGAGUGAAAAAGAACCUGAAACCGUGUACGUACAAGCAGUGGGAGCACCCUUUGGGGUGUGACUGCGUACCUUUUGUAUAAUGGGUCAGCGACUUAUAUUCUGUAGCAAGGUUAACCGCAUAGGGGAGCCGUAGGGAAACCGAGUCUUAACCGGGCGUUAAGUUGC